rnacentral:RNase_P_RNA from 1 species
CGAAGCAGUACACGCAGUCGCUGUAAAGGCUAUGGCCUUUGCAGAGGAAAGUCCGAGCUCCACAGGGCAAGGCGCUUCGUAAUGCGGAGUCUUCCCCGACUUGUCGGGGGGGAAGGAAAGUGCCACAGAAAGGGAAACCACCCCGUAACAGGGGAAAGGGUGAAAAGGUGAGGUAAGAGCUCACCAGUGUUCCGGGUGACCGGGCAGCUUGGUAAACCCCGCCUGGAGCAAGGCCAAAUAGGUUCUGUUUUGAGAGGUGCCCCCUCGAAUCCCUGCAAAGGGAGACAGAACGGGUUAGGCCGCAUGACCCUGACCGUAAUGUCAGGGCUCAGAUGAAUGGCUGCAGUCCCUUUUUUAGGGAACACAGAACUCGGCUUAUGGACUGCUUCGGCAG